UAGACAGGUUCCUUUUCAGGGUUGUUAAGUCCAUGGGUCUGCAGGAGCAAGAGGAAAUCAAACCUUGAUGAACUGAAGGCUGAGGCAGGAAGUUCUCACGAGUUUGAGGACAGCUUGAGCUACACAAUGAAGAAACUGAGGUCUGAAGAGAUUACAUGCUGCUUUUUCCUGGCUAUAACCAUGGAGGUGCCAAAGAGAAGAAAAAGGAGGUUCCUGCUGUGCCAGAAACCCCUACUAGAAAAAGAGAAGAAAUUUCAGAGUUGAAGGGAAAGCUCUUGAAAAGAAAUGUUCCAGAAAAUGCCCCCAGAAGACAAAGAGGAAAAGCUUAUUGUGAAAAAACACACACUAUCACAAGGAAUACACACAGAUACACAGACCUGAGACUCCAAAGGCCAGAUGGGUCUCAUGCAGACCAGCUGGCUUUGAACUAGCUAUGAAACUGAAGAUGACCCUGAACCCCUGACUCUCCUUCCUCCAUGUUCCAGAACACUUGAGUUACAGGCUGAUGCCACCGUGCUGGGUCUUCAGCCUCCGUAUCUGGAGCCUCAGUUUCCCUCCAGCUGCCCACAUCAAGGUCCAGACUGGAGUCCCAGGAGCUGAAGAGGGACCUGCAGUCAUUGCUCAGCUCAGAGUCAUCACGAUAGUCAUGUCCAGAAUCCAACCAAACCCACUCACACCCCAUCUGGAAACAUACAGAAAAAUGCAUUAAAUUAACUCAAAUAAAAACAAAACAAAUUAAAAUAAACACUCUCAAUACACCCCUAUCUUUCAAGUUCAUAGAAAGGGUCCAGAAAUUUCUAUUCAUUAGGAGGCAUAAGAGCCAGCUAAAGGGAGACAUUAGAUGAAAAUUUUAUCUUUUGGAUAAAAAAAAACUUCAGGUUUGUAUUACCCCAUUUUUAAACUUGGAGAUCUUCAUCUCCAAAAAGGUGGUGGGGAUUGAAGCAUACCUGCCUUAACAGACUUGCUUUAUCACAAAUCAUCCAUGAACACAACCACAAGGCAAUAAACUUGAGAAUAAAGAUUUUCCUCAGAGUAUACACAUUUUAAUCUAUUAUGAACUUAUUAACCAUUAGUUUCAAAACAAUCAUGGUUACCUUUGGCAUCCUUCUGGUCAUAUCUGACUGUCAGAAUAAAAACAGAAACACUUUUUUAUU